UACGUAGGGUGCGAGCGUUAAUCGGAAUUACUGGGCGUAAAGUGUGCGCAGGCGGCGCCGCAUGUCGAGUGUGAAAGCCCCGAGCUUAACUUGGGAAUUGCGCUCGAAACUACGGUGCUAGAGUGUGGCAGAGGGGGGUGGAAUUCCACGUGUAGCAGUGAAAUGCGUAGAGAUGUGGAGGAACACCGAUGGCGAAGGCAGCCCCCUGGGCUAACACUGACGCUCAUGCACGAAAGCGUGGGGAGCAAACAGG
rnacentral:rRNA from 1 species